rnacentral:rRNA from 1 species
CCUACGGGAGGCAGCAGUGGGGAAUAUUGGGCAAUGGGCGAAAGCCUGACCCAGCAACGCCGCGUGAAGGAAGAAGGCUUUCGGGUUGUAAACUUCUUUUGACAGGGAAGAGCAGAAGACGGUACCUGUCGAAUAAGCCACGGCUAACUACGUGCCAGCAGCCGCGGUAAUACGUAGGUGGCAGGCGUUGUCCGGAUUUACUGGGUGGAAAGGGCGUGUAGCCGGGCUGACAAGUCAGAUGUGAAAUCCGGGGGCUCAACCCCCGAACUGCAUUUGAAACUGUUGGUCUUGAGUAUCGGAGAGGCAGGCGGAAUUCCUAGUGUAGCGGUGAAAUGCGUAGAUAUUAGGAGGAACACCAGUGGCGAAGGCGGCCUGCUGGACGACAACUGACGGUGAGGCGCGAAAGCGUGGGGAGCAAACAGGAGUAGAUACCCCGGUAGUC